rnacentral:sRNA from 1 species
UGUCGAUCAGCAUGGUGAUGUCUUCCGA